UACGAAGGAGGCGAGCGUUGUUCGGAAUUACUGGGCGUAGAGGGCGCGUAGGCGGCCGAUCAAGUCAGAUGUGAAAGUCCUGGGCUUAACCUGGGGACUGCAUUUGAUGCUGAUUGGCUUGAAUGCAGGAGAGGAUAGCGGAAUUCCCAGUGUAGAGGUGAAAUUCGUAGAUAUUGGGAAGAACACCGGUGGCGAAGGCGGUUCUCUGGGACGGUACUGACGCUGAGACGCGAAAGCGUGGGGAGCGAACAGG
rnacentral:rRNA from 1 species